GAUGAACGCUGGCGGCGUGCCUAAUACAUGCCAGUCGAGCGAACAGACGAGGAGCUUGCUCCUCUGACGUUAGCGGCGGACGGGUGAGUAACACGUGGAUAACCUACCUAUAAUACUGGGAUAACUUCGGGAAACCGGAGCUAAUACCGGAUAAUAUAUUGAACCGCAUGGUUCAAUAGUGAAAGACGGUUUUGCUGUCACUUAUAGAUGGAUCCGCGCCGGAUUAGCUAGUUGGUAAGGUAACGGCUUACCAAGGCAACGAUGCGUAGCCGACCUGAGAGGGUGAUCGGCCACACUGGAACUGAGACACGGUCCAGACUCCUACGGGAGGCAGCAGUAGGGAAUCUUCCGCAAUGGGCGAAAGCUUGACGGAGCAACGCCGCGUGAGUGAUGAAGGUCUUCGGAUCGUAAAACUCUGUUAUUAGGGAAGAACAAAUGUGUAAGUAACUAUGCACGUCUUGACGGUACCUAAUCAGAAAGCCACGGCUAACUACGUG
rnacentral:rRNA from 1 species